UACGUAGGGCGCAAGCGUUGUCCGGAAUUAUUGGGCGUAAAGAGCUCGUAGGCGGUCUGUUACGUCCGCUGUGAAAACCCAGGGCUUAACCCUGGGCUUGCAGUGGAUACGGGCAUCACUGGAGUUCGGCAGGGGAGACUGGAAUUCCUGGUGUAGCGGUGAAAUGCGCAGAUAUCAGGAGGAACACCGGUGGCGAAGGCGGGUCUCUGGGCCGAUACUGACGCUGAGGAGCGAAAGCGUGGGGAGCAAACAGG
rnacentral:rRNA from 1 species